UACAGAGGGUGCAAGCGUUGUUCGGAAUUAUUGGGCGUAAAGGGCGCGUAGGUGGCGGCCCAAGUCCAUGGUGAAAGCUCGAUGCUCAACAUCGAGUCGGCCACGGAUACUGGGUUGCUCGAGCACUGUAGGGGCAGAUGGAAUUCCGGGUGUAGCGGUGGAAUGCGUAGAUAUCUGGAGGAACACCGGUGGCGAAGGCGGGACUCUGGGCCGAUACGUGACGCUGAGGAGGCGAAAGCGUGGGGAGCAAACAGG
rnacentral:rRNA from 1 species